UAGCAGUGUGUGCUGUUGGAAUCCAUGCAGCGGCUAACUGUACUGCCUCUUAAAUAGGAGCAAACAGACUCAUCGCUCGUGACUCUGACACCACUGAGACCAACGCUCCCUCUCCCGGACUGACAGGCCAAUCGCAGGACACCCCUCACUCUCUCAGUCGCUCUCUCUCUCUCACUGAUUCUCUCUCUCGCAUUCAUUCCUUUGCUCUCCAUCUCUCUCUCUGUCUGUAGCUAAGUCUCUCUACCACACCUUGUCCAGUGCAGAGGAACAGAAAGCCCCCUGCCCAGCCCAGGGAUAGCCAGACCGCUGAGAGGAUGAAACUCUGACAAGCCGACAGACCGCAGGGAAACGAGCACAACUGCCCACAGAUAAUUGGUUGAAGGGAGAGUCCAGGAAGGUCAGCCAAGAAAGCAGCCAUAGGUGCCAGUGUGAAAUCUACAGCAACUACAAUUACUUCAACAGUGAGCGGCUGGAACAAGGUGAAUGACAGACGCUGUUUCACACAGAGUGAUGCUGAGACUGGCUUAGGCUUGCAGCACCACUGAAGACUUACACGGCACUAGACAAUGACCAUUACCCCCA
ensembl:lncRNA